rnacentral:rRNA from 1 species
AGGAUGAACGCUGGCGGCGUGCUUAACACAUGCAAGUCGAACGAGAGAAGAUCGGUGCUUGCACUGAUCCGAUCGAGUGGCGGACGGGUGAGUAACGCGUGGGUAACCUGCCUCAUACAGGGGAAUAACAGUUGGAAACGGCUGCUAAAACCGCAUAAGCGCACAGUAUCGCAUGAUACAGUGUGAAAAACUCCGGUGGUAUGAGAUGGACCCGCGUCUGAUUAGCUAGUUGGUGAGGUAACGGCCCACCAAGGCAACGAUCAGUAGCCGGCCUGAGAGGGUGAACGGCCACAUUGGGACUGAGACACGGCCCAAACUCCUACGGGAGGCAGCAGUGGGGAAUAUUGCACAAUGGGGGAAACCCUGAUGCAGCGACGCCGCGUGAGUGAUGAAGUAUUUCGGUAUGUAAAGCUCUAUCAGCAGGGAAGAUAAUGACGGUACCUGACUAAGAAGCACCGGCUAAAUACGUGCCAGCAGCCGCGGUAAUACGUAUGGUGCAAGCGUUAUCCG